GACGAACGCUGGCGGCGUGCCUAAUACAUGCAAGUCGCACGGAUUGGCGAACGGGUUAGUAAUGUAUCGGAACGUGCCCAGUAGCGGGGGAUCACUACGCGAAAGCGUAGCUAAUACCUCAUACUAUUGGAGCGGCCGAUUUCGGAUUAGCUAGUUGGUGGGGUAACGGCUCACCAAGGCGACGAUCCGUAGCUGGUUUGAGAGGACGACCAGCCACACUGGGAGUGAGACACGGCCCAGACUCCUACGGGAGGCAGCAGUGGGGAAUGUUGGACAAUGGGGGAAACCCUGAUCCAGCCAACCCGCGUGUGUGAUGAAGGCCUUCGGGUUGUAAAGCACUUUUGGCAGGAAAGCGGUACCUGCAGAAUAAGCACCGGCUAACUACGUGCCAGCAGCCGCGGUAAUAC
rnacentral:rRNA from 1 species